GAACGCUGGCGGCGUGCUUAACACAUGCAAGUCGAACGGAAAGGCCCUGCUUUUGUGGGGUGCUCGAGUGGCGAACGGGUGAGUAACACGUGAGUAACCUGCCCUUGACUUUGGGAUAACUUCAGGAAACUGGGGCUAAUACCGGAUAGGAGCUCCUGCUGCAUGGUGGGGGUUGGAAAGUUUCGGCGGCUGGGGAUAGACUCGCGGCUUAUCAGCUUGUUGGUGGGGUAGUGGCUUACCAAGGCUUUGACGGGUAGCCGGCCUGAGAGGGUGACCGGCCACAUUGGGACUGAGAUACGGCCCAGACUCCUACGGGAGGCAGCAGUGGGGAAUAUUGCACAAUGGGCGGAAGCCUGAUGCAGCAACGCCGCGUGCGGGAUGACGGCCUUCGGGUUGUAAACCGCUUUCGCCUGUGACGAAGCGUGAGUGACGGUAAUGGGUAAAGAAGCACCGGCUAACUACGUG
rnacentral:rRNA from 1 species